rnacentral:rRNA from 1 species
AACGAACGCUGGCGGCGUGGAUAAGACAUGCAAGUCGAACGGGGCGAAUGAGAUUAUAUCAAGUUUGUUCAGUGGCGGACGGGUGCGUAACACGUGAGUAAUCUGCCGGAAGGAGGGGGAUAGCCCAUGGAAACGUGGAUUAAUACCCUGUGUGGCCCAAUCAGGCAUCUGGUUGCGGCUAAAGGUGGCGCAAGCUGCCG